rnacentral:rRNA from 1 species
GACGAACGCUGGCGGCGUGCCUAACACAUGCAAGUGGAGCGACGAACCAGGCUUCGGCCUGGGGCAGAGCCGCGAACGGGUGAGUAACACGUGGGUAACCUGCCCUGAUGAUUGGGACAACCCGAGGAAACUCGGGCUAAUACCAAAUGUGCCCUCCGACCAUAAGGUCGCUGGGGAAAGGAAGCUUCGGCCUCCGCAUCGGGAUGGGCCCGCGGCCCAUUAGCUUGUUGGUGAGGUAANGGCUCACCAAGGCAACGAUGGGUAGCUGGUCUGAGAGGACGAUCAGCCACACUGGGACUGAGACACGGCCCAGACUCCUACGGGAGGCAGCAGUGGGGAAUCUUGCGCAAUGCGCGAAAGCGUGACGCAGCAACGCCGCGUGGGGGAAGAAGGCCUGGUUGUAGU